AGGUGUGACCAUACCAGCACUAAUGCGUCGGAUCCCGUCAAAACUCCACAGUUAAGCGUGCUUGGGCAAGAGUAGUACUAGGAUGGGUGACCUCCUGGGAAUGCCUCGUGUUUCACCCC
rfam:Gossypium hirsutum cultivar TM-1 chromosome 14, whole genome shotgun sequence